rnacentral:rRNA from 1 species
UACAGAGGUCCCAAGCGUUGUUCGGAUUCACUGGGCGUAAAGGGUGCGUAGGUGGUAAGGCAAGUCAGGUGUGAAAUCUCCGGGCUCAACCCGGAAAUGGCAUUCGAAACUACCUUGCUAGAGGGUUUGAGGGGGGACUGGAAUACUUGGUGUAGCAGUGAAAUGCGUAGAUAUCGGAAGGAACAUCAGUGGCGAAAGCGACUUCCUGGACCAAUACUGACGCUCAUGUGCGAAAGCGUGGGGAGCAAACAGG